rnacentral:rRNA from 1 species
UACAGAGGUCUCAAGCGUUGUUCGGAUUCAUUGGGCGUAAAGGGUGCGUAGGUGGCGCUGUAAGUCAGGUGUGAAAUUUCGGAGCUUAACUCCGAAACUGCAUUUGAUACUGCGGUGCUUGAGGACUGGAGAGGAGACUGGAAUUUACGGUGUAGCAGUGAAAUGCGUAGAGAUCGUAAGGAAGACCGGUGGCGAAGGCGGGUCUCUGGACAGUUCCUGACACUGAGGCACGAAGGCCAGGGGAGCAAACGGG